GGCCGGGAGCGACCCCGACAUUUGGUGACCCGCACGGGGACUGAUCAACCCCGAGACACGGCGGUGGUGUGCAACGCUCCAGCGUGGUGCUGCCGGACAGGAAUCGGGACGAGAACCACUGUGGGUCCCAGAGAGGUUGCGACAAGUCCCUCGACUGAAGAUCAGGCCUGUUCCACCAGAGGCCAACCGCAGACCCAACAACAAGAUGAGCCCUAAAAGAACUGCAGGACAAUCCCUUUUUGGGGAGCCUGGAAUGGCUUGCUCCCCUAUGUUUUACCAUUGUUAGGUCCCCUGUGCUCCUUGCUUCUGCUCUUACUUGUAGGACCAUUCUUGCUCCGAUGGGUUACAUCAUUUAUUAAUGGGCGCCUUGCGGCGGCCUGGCGUCAAGUACGCCUGGUUGCCCAUGCGGCCCUGGCAGCAGCCCGUGAUGGGCACAAUGACCCCCAGGCUUACGCAUGGCUCGCUCGACUGGCCUACGACUGGGUCUAGGUGUGGCGGUUCUUCCGCAUUCCUUCCCUAAUGACACCACACAGCAGGGUAGGUGAGUCAAUGACGGGUAAGAGCGUGCCUCCCCAGCAUGACUCGACCUAAGCCAGGCCCUACCCCAUGGCGCACAAAAGCCGCUGGAUUACUAGAAUCUGCCCAGAUCUAGAUGCCUCUCCGAGGGGAUCACACGGAGGGGCAUGAGUGCAUGCCUAUGUGCAUCCAGGUUCCGUCCAGUUCACUCCUGGCCCUGGAAAAAGGACGAGGGUCUCAAGGCCUUGGCAGACCCGGGGGCGGCCGACCAGGGUCCAAGCCAAGGGCCUACGGUGGGCCUCAACACAGGGCAUAAGCCUCUGCACUCGAUCCAGGGCGGGCUGCGAUGCAUACAUUCAUUCAAAGUAAAUAAAAUAGGGGGAGAUGUUGGGAGCCGCAGCCCCGAGCCCGGUCGCCUCACUUGGCGGACGUGAGGCCUGUAGUAAAGAGUAAAGCCUGAGGUAGAUUACCCCUCCCAUCGAGCACGUUAGUUUCCUGCUUACCGCGUAAGCAACCCGCUCAACAAUAUAGUCUGCCUGGCAACUGAUGAUGUUAGCCAAUCAGCUUGCCUUGCUCACUUUAACAUGAUUGGACACUGUAUCUGUAUAUAUACUGGUGCCACCCCUGGGGGGGAAGAAGAAGCCCGGAAGUAGAAGCCCAGAAGGAGCCGCGGGGAGCGGACCAAAGGAGGCUUCGGCUGGGAGCGAUCCCAGGGCAGGCUGUACGGAGAAGAAAAAUAAAAGAAAAGGUUGUCCACUGCCA